rnacentral:snRNA from 1 species
AUCGCUUCUCAGCCUUUUGGCUAAGAUCAAGUGUAGUAUCUGUUCUUAUCCGUUUAGUAUCUGAUAUGUCCUCUAUCCAAGGACAAUAUAUUAAAUGUGUUGUUGGAGGUGGGAGAUGGAAUAGGAGCUUGCUCCAUCUACUCCAUGCAUUGACCUGGUAUUGCAGUACUUCCAGGAAUGGUGCACCCCCU